ensembl:lncRNA
GAAGGCAUUCUGGAACAGGACCAGAAAGACCACGACCAAGCAGCCUUGAGAUCUUAGGCAGCGUCUCCCUCAGACCAAAGAACUACAGACUCUUCACAACCUGCUCAAACUCUUGGUACAGGACCUCACCACACGGGUCAAGAAGAUUUCUGUCUCAUUUCUACUCUGAAGCUCACCUUCUCCUGCUCAAACUGCUGACAAAUGUUUCUGCUGCUCUAAAGUCUGGUCUCCAGAACUUCCUAAAAACUCUCAAAGUCUCUUCUGCUGCAGGUUGCUUUGUAGAACUGUUCCAGAAAAGCUCACUAAACCACAUGGAGGGGCCUCAAGAUAGUCGUCCAAAUGAAACCGUACAAAAACCAAACUAGCACAACCCAAACGCUAAAGUCUCCUGCAGCCUACCAGAGAACCUCUGA